rnacentral:lncRNA from 1 species
AUUCUUGAGCCAUUUAUUGAUAUUCCCCCCAUAUCCUCUCCAUAAAGAUUUGAAAUUAAACAGUAUGACGAACCCUGAAAACUGACACAGAGGUUGUCUGUCUGAAGAAAGGUUUGGAUGUCAUUUUCUUUUUUCAGUUUCAUUCUUUUCCUCAGUUGUUCUUUACAUUAACCAGAACAAUCUUAAGUAUAAUAUGCAUAUUCAUUCAGAUUUUUUUAAGUUUAACACUGACUAUCUUCAUUUAUAAGGGCAGUUGAUUUAGAGGUUACUCAAUCCAUUGUGUCUUUGGAUGUUGCAGCACUAUUUAUUCAAAGUUAGUUGGACCACAUCAUUUUGCUUACACGUACUCAUGUUCCAAAGAGAAUUUAAGUUUGCUUACAAAGAUACCAUAUCAAAAUGAUGCUGCCUGAAAUCUUGAGGGCAAUCAAAAUAGCAGGUGAUGCAAAUACUCUAUUGGUCAUUAUUGGACACUUUUUGCAGUUGAGGACACUGUAGUCACCAAGUAACUUGUUCAGUGUCUGCUGUGCCC